rnacentral:rRNA from 1 species
AGACAGAGGGGGCAAGCGUUGCUCGGAAUUACUGGGCGUAAAGGGCGCGUAGGCGGGAUGGCAAGUCGGUCGUGAAAUCCCUCGGCUCAACUGAGGAGCGUCGAUCGAAACUGCCGUUCUUGAGGGUUGCAGAGGAGACUGGAAUUCCCGGUGUAGCGGUGAAAUGUGUAGAGAUCGGGAGGAACACCGGUGGCGAAGGCGGGUCUCUGGGCAACUCCUGACGCUGAGGCGCGAGAGCGUGGGGAGCAAACGG